CCCACAGCCAGUCUCCUUGGCAGGGAUGUUGAAGUUCCCCAAAAUAAGCAGGCUGUGAGUCCUCAACACUGCGUCUGAAACCAGCUCUGUCAGCUCAGGUAAGGAGACUUCUAAACAGCAAGGCGGGUGGUAAACCAGCAGAAUCCCUAAUCUGUCCUGAUUGACCAGCACACAUUCUAACCCCCACCACCACCAACUGGGGGGCGGGGAGAGAGAAUUUAUGUAGACCACGGUAACUCCCCCUCCCGGGAUGCGGGUGGCGCUGUGGGUUAAACCACAGAGCCUAGGACUUGCCGAUCAGAAGGUCGGCGGUUCGAAUCCCCACAACGGGGUGAGCUCCCAUUGCUUAGUCCCAGCUCCUGCCAACCUAGCAGUUCGAAAGCAUGUCAAAGUGCAAGUAGAUAAAUAGGUAUCGCUCUGGCGGGAAGGUAAACUGUGUUUCCGUGCACUGCUCUGGUUUGCCAGAAGCGGCUUAGUCAUACUGGCCACAUGACUCGGAAGCUGUACGCCGGCUCCCUCGGCCAAUAAAGCAAGAUGAGUGCCGCAACCCCAGAGUCAGCCACAACUGGGCCUAAUCGUCAAGGGUCCCUUUACCUUUACCUAACUCCCCCUCCCAGACCCUCAAGUCUGCCCUGAUUCUGCACCAUUGGGUGAGAAAAACUCCACCUUGCUCACCCACCCAGGUCUCAGUGAUGCAGGUCAGAUCAGCCUCCUUAUCCACAAUCUGAUCAUGGAUGAGGGAGGUCUUGUUCAGAGGUGACCUGGCAUUCAGCAGCAGCAGCAUCUGCAGACCCAACAGCUGGCUGAUAGGACAACAAUUUCCCAAGCUGGAGGAGGAAUGGGCACACGGCAGAGUCACUGUCAGUGCUGUGUACCCCUUACCCGGGCUGUCUCACCUUCCACACCAUACCUCCUCCUUCCCUGAACCACUGCAACUGUCCCCUUCCUCUCCCUAGCUCCUCUCUUCCCAGGCACAUCUCCCCUCCCUCAGAAAAAUAAUCCACACAAGUUAACCCCACAGUCCAAGAUUCUGUUCAGCAGCUUCAGCUUUUGUAGCUGGAGUCAGUCAGGGCCCAUCCCUCCUAGACCAGGGGGAAAAGGUCUGCCAGGCAAGAAGCAGGUCCUCCAGGACUCACAGCCAGGAUUUCCCUGGUUUCAUAGUUUCAUGUUGCUUCCAGAGGACUUUAGUGAAAAUUCAUCAAGUUUUGUUUGCCCACAGUACCACUUACCUCUGGGUAAAAUAUGCAGAGGAUUAUGCUGCCAGGCUACAAAUCUACAUCCUAGUCUGGAAGUAAGUCCAUUGAACACAGUGGGGAUUACCUCUGAGCAGACAUGUAUAGAAUUGCACUGGCAGGAUUUUGAAGAAGGCCAGGCAUGGUGUUGUGUUAAAAGGAGUCAGGAAGCAUCUGAACUGAAGGAUUAUAUCCUCCAACCUGCUGAGUUAUUUUCAAGUACAUGAGGAUUGACAAAGCAAGUUGCCACUUUCUAAAUUAAUUUCAGGGCCAUCAACCACUAUUUCUCCUUGACUUGGCGAACUAAAACUUUUUAAUUAACAUCAACAGAAAUUAGGCCAGUGUCGACAGUGAGCCUAAUGCUGCCUGACAUUUCCCACAGACUAAGGCUCAGCUUGAACAUACAGCAGUGCGUCUUUUUAAUCUUAAUUAAGUAAACACAAUCAAAAACAGCCUUUACAUUCCAUUUAGUUCACUGCAGAAAACAUGUGUUUCUCUCAGCUAAACGUGGCAUAUACUGCCAUGGCUUUUUAUAGGCCGCAGGACUGAUAUGUCUGAUGACUGAAAACGACCAUGCACUUGGUAAUACGUAUUUCCAACAUUUCAUAUGCUAUGUAUCAUCAGAAAACACUCCCUCUGGAUUGAUUUUACAACCAUUUUUACAGUAAAAUAAAAUACUAUGUUGAAAUGAGAAAUACUUGCAAGCAUUUACACAGAGGAUCCUAGAUUGGCUCUGAACAUGUGCUAAGUACAUUUCCCUCACUGCAGCUAGCCUUAUUUUCUGUUUUAAUGCUAAGAUAACAAGGGGAAAUGUCUGAGAGGCCAAGCAUUUGUGCGUCUCUUGGUCCUGUCAAGGUGAGCAAAGUUAUUUGUAUAUUUAGAGGUGACUUUGACCUAACAUGAGUUAGUGUGAUCUAGUGGAUUUAGUGGACAUAGAAGUAGACUUGGUCCUCAAAGACAUAGGCUGACAGCCACAUAUUGGCCAGGUGUCUAUAUUCUGCAUACACACCAUACAUUUAAAGGACAUCUCUUCUUCCCUCCCCCACAAAGGGGGAGAGUACUCUAGUUUGCUUUGCACAGAGCUACAACUCCCAGCCCCCUGAGCAAAUUCUGCUUCCAAUAAUUCUUCAGGUAGUGACUUAGAUAUAUGGUGUGUACACAGUCCUACUUGGUAAUUGGGGGACAGGUGAGUAACUGGCAAGCUAAGAGUGUUUGUUCUUCUCUAGGCAGAUCACUCUCUCUGUGUAUGUUGGUUUUAGUUUCUGUGGCUUUUAAACAGAGUAAUUCAAAUCUCUUGAAGGCCUUAACCAAAAUUUAAAUGAGUGCAUUACAUGGUUAAUGGACUCUUAAUAUCUAAUGAGCAGACUAAAAGCGAGAUAGUUUACUGCUUAUGUUUUCCCCCAUCUGCCUACAAAGGCUGUGGAGUUUCAUUAAUUAACUAUCCCUUUAUGUUAGCAGCCGGAUCAACUGCAAAUCAUCACCAUACAUUAUUUGGAAUAGUUGCCCCUGAGUAAUCCAAACCAUAUCCUGAAUGUAGUUUAAACAGGAUGCUUUAGCCAAACGACAUUAUCAGCCUUAAGUAUACCUCUAGUGCAUUGUAUGGGAGAUGAAACUGAGCCUCUUAACUACUCCAGAUUAGCACCCACAUAGUGCCAACCAUAUUAGGAAAAUGUGUUAGGAAAAAUAUCUACAGGCUCCAAAUGACUUUGGAGUUAUGAAUAAAAGCUUCAAGGCAGGAUGUGUUCCUGCUUUUCGAUAAGUGCUAAAAAUGCAAAAGACAUUUGUCAUGACUGCCAAACAAAACUGGCACAAAGCUUUUAAAUCCUUAAAUACAGUUAAUUGUUCACAGGAAAACAUAGGGAGCAUGUCAAACAGCUUUGUUUUGUUUUCAUAUCAGGAUAGAACCUCAGAGGAGGACAGAAUUUAAGUACUUGCUUAGUGAAUUUUAAAAUAUUUAGGCCAUGUAAUACACACUCGAUGUGGAGAAUGUUAAUUCUACAGGCAUAAAUUAAACAUAAACAUUCCUAGCAAUGGUCUAAAACACUAUUGCAUGCCACCCUAAUCGCAGAGCGGUACAAAAUUCCAGGGAUUCCAAGCGCUCACCCAGGGUGUGUGUUUUAUUUUGGAAAUGAAGCACAGUGGAGACUGUGGUGUCUUUAUGAUAUAUGGUUUAUUUAUACAUACAUAUAUACACAACCUGAAGCCUACAAUGGAGGGGCUCACAGCAAUUAACAACCCAAAAGGUUUCUCCCAUACCUGCAGCCUUGGAUUCAAACAGACAUCAAACAUUGUGCUCUGCUUCUCUGGCUUUGCACUUGCUGCCUGCCUUCUCCAUGGCAUCACUCCUAACUCUGCUCUAAGCUUCUAGCUCACAUUGCUUCUAACUCUCUACACUAAUCUUUGGCUGGAGAACCUGGAGAAAGGAUGGGGGUGGAGGAGAAGAGAGACAUGAAGGAUGAGUUGGCGAGUCCUGGCAUCCAAGCCAUGUGUGUGCCUGUUCACUGUUCUCUGAACUUGCCCAGCUGCUAGCAUAACUCAAAGGAUUAGAGACAUGCAUAGAACAAGAAAACAAACCCAGCAGCUAUUGUGCAACAGAACAACAGGAGCUGAGUACAAAAGCCAAUGCUGGCUGUUCCAUAUAAUCUGAUCUUCCAUUGUAGAAGGCUGUAGAAAUGAGCAAAUGCCUACUUCAAAAUACAUCAGCACCUGUUCUGAAAUACUUCUUUAAAGUAGAUAAUUUACUUCUGGCUUUCCCCCACCCCUAUGUAUAUGCUUCCUCUUCUAAAUAUUUGUUUCAUAUUUAGCCAAGAAGAUAGAAAUUUGUUGGAACAAGAGUCCCCUUCAGCUUUUUAAUUAAGGCUUCUCAAAUAUAAAGUCCCCUCACAUAUAAGUAGCUGCUGGCUGAGAGCUGUUUGUCAGUUUGGUUACAACUCUGCAGGGAGAUCAGAGUGGCUGGGGCAACCCAGUCAGAUGAGCGGGGCACAAAUAAGAAAUCGUCGUCGUCGUCGUCGUUGUCAUCGUCAUCAUUCUUUAGAUUCAACAUUUAAGCUGAAAGUCUGGUGCAAGUCUUAUUCUAGAAACACAGACCGAUUUGCUUGCACGCUAAUAAUCUGCCGUAAAUCAAUACAUUAGGCUUUGCAGGGUAUAUAUAUAUAUAUAUAUAUAAUUUGUAAUUAGCAGUGUCUUAAAAAUAUUUAUAAUGAAGCCAUGAGCCUGAGUGGCAGAAUGAUAGUGACUGACUGAGGGGGGAAAUAAUUAAAAAGAAGCUGUGUUUCAGAACAAAUUCUGUUCAAUCAGUUGUUGUCUGUAGCUUCUUAUUUUUAUUGCAGGUGCUAUGCACUCCAUUGAAAACUUUUAUGAAGACUGUAGUUUACUAUAGUUAUUGUUUAACUACAUAGAGAUCAAAGUAGGGGGUCUGUGGCUUGGAUUUGAAAAAUAGGGAGUCGUCAGUAAUUAGCUAAUUGGGAACCACUGUUCUGGUGCAUUUUGACCAUAUAUUACAUGUUCUGGACCUUAAUAGCUUGUUCACUUUAAAAAUGGCUCCAGUUCUUUACAAAUAGUCCAUAAUUGCAUAGAAUGUAGACUGAAAGUAGCUAACAUGUUGCUAUCCAAAUGUUAUUGGACUGCAACUCCCAUUGUACCUUAUCAUUGUCCAGAAUAACUAAGGCUGAUGGGAGUUGGAGUUCAACAAUAUCUGAAGGACACUACAUUGGCUACCCCUGGUGUCGACAAUAUUUUAACAGGGUGACAUUCCAAACAGGGUGACAUUCAAAACACCAGCACCAGCACCCUGAAGUCACUUAAAUGCUAUUGUCCUGCAAUAGAUAACUCACAUAGGACUUCUUUUGGUCUGGUUUAGUUUGGACCACUAGCUUAUCAAGUGCCCUUGAGAACUUUAUAGUAAGCUAACCCCUUGCUGUGGUUGUCUGUGUUCAUGCACUGCAUUUCUCAUUUCUGGCCAUGUCACAACACAUAUUCAGAACAUGAGUAGGGCAAAGCAACAGUUGAAGCAGUUCUGAUAAAGCUGUUCUUCUGGGGUAUGACAUCUGUGUGAAACUAAUUUACAUUGUAAAGCAAAAUAGUCUUUGAUUUUUAUACCUCACAGAAAGAAAGUCAUUGUCUCGUUAAUUUAACAUGUCUCAUUUCUUCUGAGACAAAGAACUAAAGCACUUGGCAAUUCCCUAGUCACUAAAGGAUAACAUAAUAAUGUUAUCUACCUUUGCAGCAUUAAUUCAUGGUUUAAAGUUUAAAUUGAAGACAAGGAAAUUGUCUUGUUUCAGUCUUCAGUCUUGUUUUUCUUCUUGUUUUUCUUCUUUCAGUCUUGUUUCAGUCUUGUUUUUCAGUCUUGUUUUCAGUCUUGUUUUUCUUCUGAAAGAAACAUUCUGUCAUAACUGCCUGCCUCUAAGCUCUUGGUAAUGUGAGUCAUUUAAAACAAAAAAGCAUUAAUGCAGGAGGUGUUACAUUAUCUUAGUAAUUUCUUUUAUUUUCCUUUUAUUUUCCAGCAAGUGUUAAAAUAUAAGCCAGGCUUACUUCUUGUGUUGAGGUGAUAGCCUCGGUGAUGGGCAGUUAAGAUAAAUGAAGCAAAGGGACUAUAUGAGAGAUGGCAAGAUGGGCUAGAGAAAAACUCAGAGCAAUGUUUGAGAGCAAAGUUUGAUUUCUGUUUGAAUCCAAGGCUGUGGCUAUGGGAGAUCAAUACCUUUUUGGGGUGUUGAUGCUACAAACACAUCCAUCGUAGGCUCAGGUUAUAUAUGGGUGUAAAUAAACCAUAUAUCAUGAAGACACCACAUUCUCCUCUGUGCCUUGUUCCCAAAAGAAAUAUGAACCUCGGGUGAGCACAUGGAACCCCUGAAAUCUCAUAUUGCUCAGAGAUUGGGGUAGCAUGGGGUAACAAUAAAAAACUCUACCUCCAGUCAAUACAAUGAAUUACCUUAUCAACCUGUUUUCCUGAUCCUGUGGAUAAGUAUGCAGAAGUGGAAACAGCCACCUUUUCUGAGCCAAAAUAAGCUCUUUCAAAAGUCCAGUACCUUCGUUAAAAAGAAAUGUGUGAUGCUGUGAUUGUGCUACCUGGAAUGGCAUCCUACCUGGCCCAAUGCCCUCAUGGGAUGUCUGCUGCUGGUGGAUAUUUCCAACAGAGUGACUCUGUGCCACCCUGUAGUGCCAGUGUGACUGGCUGCACACUGACGCGAGGGCAGACAUGUUAAUGUUGCAUGAUUCUUGUGGUGGUUGUGCUCCCAGGAUGAGCACUUAAACAGAGUGGAUCUUGGGGCCAGUUUUUAUCUGCAGUUUCCAAUGUACUUUUAUAGCUGCCUAAGAAAGAAUGACUGAUUGUGAUAGGGUGUCACUUUUAUGAAGUGCAUAUCAGUAAAAAGAGAACAGGAAGAAACCGAUCACCAGAGAAGUGCUGAAAUAUUUCCAUUCUUAGAAGACUUGUGCACUUAACUGAGCUAUGUUGAUGAUCGGACAAGAUUUUUACACAAAGGCAUGUGAACUAGUGAUGUCUUGUUUCACUGGCAAAAGCGGUAGGAUUCUGUUCUUUGUACUAUUAAACUAGCUGAAGUCAGGAUAAGAAAUUAGGAGAUCUGAAAUUUCAAUAAAUCUGAACAAUUAUUCAUUAAACUUCAUAGGGAUUUUGUUUUUAUUUGAUUUCUGGUAUGCAUAACUGUCAUAGACACAGGAAGCUGCAUAACAGCAAAUCUGACCAUUGGUCCAUCUAGCACAAUAUUGUCUACACUGACUGGCAGCAGUUCACCAGGGUUUCAGACAGAAGUCUUUCCUGCCCUAUGUGGAACUGGAAACACUGGAAGCUGAACUUAGGACCUUCUACAUGUAAAGUUUGUGCUUUACAACUGAGCUGCAGCCCUUUCUGUCAUAUUUAACAUGCAUAUUUUCCAUCACCAAUAGGUCUAGAAACUUUGUUUUAAAGAAAGGUGGCAUCCUCAGAAUUCUUACAGAACCAGUGAUCUUAACCCCACCUUCUUUUUUGCUCCAUGACUCUGGUUUGGCUGGAAAUACCCUACAACCUAAGUCCAGAUAAUUAUUUAUCUAUCUAUCUAUCUAUCUAUCUAUCUACUACUUUUUUCUUCCAAGGAACCUAUGGUGGAUGAUAUAUGUGGUUCUCCUGCUGCCCUUUUCUUCCUUACAACAACCCUAAAACAAAAAUACCAGCAGUAAUUUGAUACUCUGGUAAAGUGAUGAGUGAUGACUCUACAUUGCUUUUUUUUUGCAGUGAUUACAAUAAUUUUCAGAUUAACUCAUUGUUAUGGACAGUUACGAUUAUGCUAGUUGCUUUAAAACAAACAAGCCCUCUGAAAUUUGGCAUUUCAGUGGUUUAUUUUUACUUUAAGAUGAACCACCAGGCACUGGCAGGAAGAGUAAACAAAGUAAUUUAUUUAUAGCUAUCAAAAAAACAAAUUUAUUUAUAGCUAUCAAAGAUAUUGUUGGUGGUGAUAUUUUACAGAACAGAAAAAUCCAAAAGCACUCUGGUACAUACAUUCCUUGGAAGCAUUUGCCAACUUGCCUUUCUCAUUCAGAAGUGCAAUGGUACUCCCUAGUGGAAGACCUCAGGAACUACUAUUUCUCAUUCAUUAGUUAAGAAACAGUUGGAAAUACACUAUGCAAACUUUUUGCUUCCAAGAACAUGGGAGAUUAUCAUUGGAGAAUGACACAAGUUGGAUCUGGACCACAAAUAAUUUACACAGAUAGGUGUGCAAGACAGUAAAAGAGGGCUAGUACAUUUUAGGAAAUUGCUUGAAAGAUGGAGUGCUCUCUAUCAAUGCCACUUGUGCUAGCAAAGCUGUAGAUCUGAGAAACUGGGUGCUUCUCUAUUUUCAAAAGGAAAACAAUCAUUGCUUUGCUGUUCCUGUACACUUUGAUGCCACCUGAGAUCUUCUACACUUGGCACAAAGGAACAUAAUUGCUCUGUAAAGAGCUUCCUGGAUCACCAUCUUAAGCCUGGGCACAUUACAGACAUGUCUCUACCAUUCCCUUUACAAACAGCACCUUUAAUAUUCUCUUUCCCAAUUGUCGCUCCACUGACUCACACCAUCUUUUUCUUUAGCACCCAGCCUGAGAAAGUUCUGUGAAACAUGAAAGUUACACCGUUGUUUUGUGACAUUCACUUGGCCCUCCUCAUUAAGGCAUCACUAUACUUUCUCCUGUUUCCAUUCCUUUCCUCACAGACCAACAUGGCUGUCUGCAUUUUUAAUCUAUGAAGCAUAGCUGAUGACACAAAGUGUUAUCAUGGAAACCCAUGAUCAAUUAACUGGGAUAAACUAGUCAACCCCUAUGCAGAAGCUCAUGUGUAAAAUCAAAAGGGAGAGCUAAAUUAUUUGUUCCCAGCCCCAAAUCAUGAAGAGCUUGAACAGGGGAGCAUCCUGUACUUAUGAAGGUUUCUCCCAUGAUUCAAGACCCCCUUUUAUUCAGGGUUCUGAAGCUCUCUGAACCCUGAUCCCUCUUAUACAGGACGCCUCCACAGAUACACAAGUUUCCUCACAGCAGCUGAAAAUUCCUGAAGGGAACAGAGGAGUGGAUCUGGGUGAUAGAGCUAAACCAUACAGGCCUGUUCUACCUGUAUUUCUCUUCAGGCCAUAGCACCUGACGGAACCUUAAACCAUGCAGGGAGAACUUGUGGGUAUAGAAGGCUCCCAGCAAUGCUUCUCCUCUUCUCACAUCCUAACCUUGGUUAUUCCAACAGCCUCUCUCUUCUAAGAAUAUCUCAGGCCUGCAGAUUAUAUAUCUGCAGUUCUAUCUACUAAAGACCCGCUGCAUCUCCAGUUCCCAUUAUCAUAGAUACAUAGAAUUAUAGAAAGGUAGAGUUUGAAGGGGCACCAAGGGUCAUCUAGUCCAACCCCCUGGAAUGCAGAUAUCUCAGCAUGCGGUCCAUCCAAUUUGAAAUCAUACUUAGCUUUGCAAAUGUGCUAGCAGUUUUAUUGCUGCGCGAAUCUUACUGUUUUUACAUUCUUAAUCAAAGUUAGCAGGAAAUCCUUAUCAGUUUUUAUCACAUUUCAAAAACUAAUGUAGAAACAACUUAAUUCAUCUGCAUUUUAUGCUGGUCAUAAAUGGAUUUCAUUGUUGCCUGUCUGCAGUGAAGUGUUGUUAAAAGUCAGUGUAGAGGUUAACUUUUGCAUUUUAAAAGGUAAAAGAAUAGUGGACCAGGAUUUAUUUUUUUUUGAGAAGGAAAAGUAUAUUGCAUGUUUUCCCUAAAUUAACAUUGUGGUUAUUCGGCAACAUUUAGAAACAUCCUGCAACACAGACGUCACAGGAAGCACAAGAACCACCAUGCUGGAUCAAGACCAAGUGGGAAUUAUAGGAAUUUGCUUUAUAUUGAGUCAGACCAUUGACUCACCUUGAUUGAAU